rnacentral:tRNA from 1 species
GGGGGUAGAUGGGUCCUGGUGGGCUUCCUGGACUUCAAAUCCAGCGGCGGGCAGUGCUCCUGUCCGCGGUGGGUUCAAUUCCCACAUACCCCCGCCA